GCCCUCUCAGGAUUGCACCUGGAGAGAUUUCAGUACUCUACCAGUCUCGGCUAUGGGAGGGAGAAUCGAGCAGAGGCAUACGCAUUGCACUCCUAGCUUGGCCGGUGGCUAGUGAGUGGAAGGCAACCUGCGACAAGU